UGAUCAAAUGGGGACUGGGGGGAGGGGGGCGAGUAAGUGACUUGUCCUUGGGAACAUCUGCAUGCGUCGAAGCGCGAACCAGCCCAACAACUUUCCCUUUUCCUCUUAGGUACUGAUGACUAGGCGAGAGGCACCAAGGCGAGCCACUAGUUGCCCACAGGAACCUGUGUAAGCCGAGCUCUCGAGCGGCUGAGUUGAAUGAAGUUAUGACUGCGUUUGCUCUAAUGGGUUAUGGCUUCCCAAAUGUAAUAGAAGGAGAGGCAAAGAAUCACGACACACAAUUUGGAAAGCCUUCUGAAAGCAAGAAUAGGCAAUGAUUGCCAAGAACCUGGUAUUGAGCUCAUAUUUAAAAAGAACUCAAAGAAUCCUCAAUCUACCAAACCUAGUUAUAAAGGAAACAAUCAAAACUUCAAAAAGAAGUAAGCAAGAGAAAGCCUUGGGAAAGUCAUGAUUUAGUUUGCAAUAACCUCUGUGCAUUUCUGAGCCUGACAAGCAAGCAUGAGACAGAAGAUCUGGACAUGACUUAACUCAAUUUCAGAACACCAGACAACCCUAUAAUGAGGCUGAAGCAAGACCACAUGGAAUACUGAGGAAGAACUGAAUGACUCUUUCUAAACCAUCUUACAGAAAAGAGAUGAAUAAGAGGAAGUAUGGGUAGCAAGUAAGAGAGAAGUGACAUUGUUAAUAUGAAAAGUUGACAGGGAGAUUAAGAUGGGUCAAGAGCAUGUCAGGUCAGGACUUGCAAGAUGUACUUAACUAAAUGUAAGUUCAUAUUAGGAAUUGGAUAAAAUGAGAAAUAAAAACUCCAAGGAGUCACAAAACUUAGGAUCAUGGAAAGGCAAGUGAAAAUUAGUAAAAAGAGCCAAUUUUAUAUCAUGAUAGGGCCUACCAAGGUGUGCUUGACAUCUAAUCUGCCUAGAACAUCUGGAAGGAAACUUUCACAGAUGCUAAACUGUGCUUCUUAUAAUUUAAUGUGCACAUGAAUCUCCUGGGCAACUCUUUAGAAAGCAGAUUCUAAGUCUGGGGACAGCAUCAACAGUUGGCAUUUUCAACAGAUUCCCAGGUGAUAUGAAGUUGUGCCACAUUUUGCACAGCAAAAUACUAAAGCUUGCUGCCCCAGCCUAUGGUUUCAUUUGCAUUAUGGCUUCAUUAAUACACUUCAUUAGUAACUGAAGUGAAUGCUAUAUAACAAAAAAUAAUUCAAGGAAAAGACCUGUUCCUUUAACUCUAAUGUUACACAAACCACAGACUCUAAUUUGCUCCUGAACCCAUUAAUUCUAGAAAGUUCUUAAGCACAGUGGACAUCAACCUCUUAUUAUCAGUAACAUUGGCUAUAGUUUGAACAUUUAUCAUUUUGUACCUAUUGGAGUAAAAGAAAAGAGAAUCCAUUUGGAAUAUAUUGGGCACAUUGCACAAUGGAAAAGUCAGGGAAAAUUAUUCUAGUCAUGUAAAGAGGAUUGGUUAGGUCAUAUUCUGAGUCCUGAGCUCAUUCUGGGUUUCUUUCUAUAAAUAGGAUAUUUUGGAACUAGAGAAAGCACAGCAGAAGGCAACCAGAAUGACAGAGGGAUUUGGGGAAUUUGCUUCUGCUGAAAGGUUAAGGAAACUAGGUCUGUUUUCUUUUGUAAGGAGAGAAAAGAUGGUACCUCACUGAGGUGAUAUCAUUCUAAAAGUAGUGGAAGUAAUAGGAUGAGACAAGAGUGCCUUAUGGAAACAAGAGUAGAAGGAUUCUGGCAAGGAAUGAAGGCCAGAAGAAUGGCUCUAGCUUUUCUAAAGGCCCUCAGUUAGCAGUGUUCCUACUGGCAGAACUCCACUACUCGCAAAAGGAGGGGUAAACACUAGAUUGGGAUCAGGAAAUAAGUGAGAGAGAGAAAAUGAGGAGGCAGAGGGGAUCUUAUGUCGUUUUUCAUUGAGAACAUUUUCAAACAGGCAUUUAUUAAUCCUAUAGAAGCCCUGCACUCAAGGCAUAUGGUGAACUUUACCAACAUUCCCCAAGCUCAAGGGUUCUGCUUCUGUAACACAUCACAUCUCUGCUUCCUCUUCAUCCCAAAAUGGCAUUUUGUCCAUCAAUUCAGCAAAGAAAUGUAAAUAGUUAUAAUAUGCAGGGUUUUCCCUCUAAAUUACUUUUUCCUCUUCAUCAAUCCUGGAAAACAUUCUCUUUUUAUUUUAUUUAUUUAUUUUUAGAGACAGGGUCUUGCUGUGUCACCCAGGCUAAAGUUCAGUGGCUCGAUCUUGGCUCACUGCAACCUCUGCUUCCUGAGCUCCAACAAUUCUCCCACCUCAACCUCCCGAGUAGCUGGGAACACAGGUGCAUGCCACUACACCCGGAUCAUUUUUACAUUUUUUGUAGAGACAGGGUUUCGCCGUGUUGCCCAGUCUGGUCUUGAACUCUGGCACUCAAAUGAUCAGCCUGCCUCAGCCUCUCAAACUGCUGGGAUUACAGGCAUGAGCCACUGUGCCAGGGCUGAUUCUCUUUUCAGUUGGUAGAAAAGCACUGUCCAUGACUUCGCAUAUGAGACCUCAACAUCUUCAUUUGAUCCCUGAAUCUCAGAGAUGAAAGGACUUGCCGACCAUCCUGGGCUACCCCAUAAUUUUACAGCAGGGGAAUAUAAAGCUCAUAGAGUUGAUAAUCAUACAGAUUUUACGUGUAUGGUACUGGAGCAUAUAUGCUUUCGGGAAACUGAAAAUUCACCAGUGAGCUAUGUGGAAAAUGUCAAUUAUUCCAUGAGUUAGCUCACUACUCUGGUCCUCUGUCAAAAUUGAUAUUCAGCUCUGUGUCUUUUUACUUGGACAGCCUUUGAGGGGAGUUGCUCUAUGUCCACUGCUUUAGGUAGUUGACCCAAACUUCCCCAAAAUGUAGGAAAGUUGGUUAACUAACUUUAGGUGGGUUAAGCAACUUUUCCAUAGUCACACUGCUUGUAAGUAGUAGAGGAGGAAUUAAAAUUCAGGAUUUUCAGAUCUAAAGUUCAUGCUUUUAAGCACUGGACCAUAUUUACCCCUCUUGCUUUCUUCCUUUCUGAAUACAUACAUUUUUGCUUUUGUUGCAGUUUGCUUGUGUUACAGUAUUGGGACAAGCCAGUCUCACUUAACUAUACUGCUUCCCUCUCUCCCAAUACUUUGACUGCUAUGUAAUAGAAACUUAAUAUAAUUUUCCUAUAUGAAUUAGAAUCAAACUGCUUCUGUUUAUCUCUGGGAAGACUUGUUUUCUAACUUUAUCCAGCACAGCAGCAUAGAUUGCAAUGCAAGGAGAGACUGAAGAACAAUGGUGAUCACCAAUUGCCGUAUGUUCUGGGGAGGCUUAAACCACUUCUGGAGCCUCCUUUUCCCCCACCUCCAUCCUAGAAGGUAGCAGAUGCAUCCUUGAAGAGGCCUCGACAGAACCUAGGCCAAUUCGCUUCUAAGAUGCAGGUUAUUCUUGAAAUCUACAAGCAGCAAAUCGAAGAUGGGGUAUACACUGCAAAUUAGGGGGCACUAAUGCGAUGACUCAAAGUCCCAGAAUGGGCCUGAGUGUGCAGAUCACUGUGGAGAUGUUCCCAAAGUCUUGACAGAUCUAUGUUAAGGCAGAAACAAGGACAUCAUAUUCUCCAAUAUUACUGUGAUUCAGAAUCUAAAUAGUGACCUGAAUGCCAGAAAUGUCAGCCAAGAAAUGGGAAAAGGAAUGGGCAGUCCAGAGAUCUGGGCCUGUUGAGAAGCCUAUGAACCCAGUGACUUGGAAUAAAGACAAUUGGGAGAAGCCUGAAAUUUCAAGAGAAAAAGAGGAAUCUCUGGCCCUAAUGCUGGGCCUUUCUUGGUGUUCCCUGUCUCUGUACUCUAUUUCCUACCUCCUGUAAGACAGGACAUCUCUUGGAAUCAUCUGAUGUGUUGGAAGGGGGCUGGGAGGGAAAGAGCAUUGAUGCUGACUGUGUUACAAGCUGGAUCGUCUGACGCUGGCAAACCAUUUUCUUUCUCUGGGCCUCAGUUUUUCCACUUAUAUAGUGGCCUUAGAUUUGACAUUUGUUGUGGGUUGAAUUGUGUCCUCUCUGAAUUAAUAUAUUGAAGUCUCAACCUCCAGUACCUCAGAAAGUAACCGUAUUGGGAGCUGGGUCUUUAAAGAGGUGAUUAACUUAAAAUGAGGCAUUAGGGUGGGGCUCCAAUCCAAUAUACCUAAUUUUUUUAUAAGAAGAGAGAAACUGGCCAGGCACAGUGGCUCACGCCUGUAAUCCCAGCACUUUGGGAUGCCGAGGCGGGCGGAUCACCUGAGGUCGGGAGUUCGAGACCAGCCUGACCAACAUGGAGAAACUCCAUCUCUACUAAAAAUACAAAAUUAGCUGGGCGUGGUGGCACAUGCCUGUAAUCCCAGCUACUUGGGAGGCUGAGGCAGGAGAAUUGCUUGAGGUUGCGGUGAGCCGAGAUUGUGCCAUUGUACUCCAGCCUGGGCAACGAGAGUAAAACUCUGUCUCAAAAAAAAAAAAGUAGAAGAAGAGAGAGACACCAGGGAUGCACACGCACAGAGGAAAGACCAUGUGAGGACACAGCAAGAGGACAUCCAUCUGCAAGCCAAGAAGAGAGGCCUCAGAAAAAAUCAACCUGGUUGGCACCUUGAUCUUGGACUUCCAGUCUCCAGAACUGUGAGAAAGUGAGUUUCUGUUAUUGACAUCAAGUGUGUGGCUUUUUGUUUUGGCAGCUACAGCAAACAAAUACAGAUUUCAAAUGGCCCAAUUAUCUGCCUUCCAAUUUCUGUGAAACUUCCUUCAACAAGUUUAGUAUUGGGAGGGAUUGCAGUUGACUGCAAAUUCUUUGAUAGUUCUUUCAUCAAGAAAUGGGGUUGUAUCUGCUCCUCCCCUGCUUUCGGGUGGGCUCAGUGACUGCUUUGACCAAUAGAAUAAGGCAAAAGUUACACUUCUAGUUUCCUGGUUCCAAGCCUUAGGAGACUCUUCACUUACUCUUCCUGUGUCAUGGAAUGCCUGCUCUUGGAGCCCUGGACCACCAUGUAAAAAGUCCAACUACCCUGCUGGAGAUGCAAUGUGAAGCAGUGAUGAGAUUACAUGGAGAGAGUGAAAGGCCCAACUGAGCCCAGCCUUCCACUUUGCCCUGCUGAGAUGCUGGGCAUGUGAGUACAACUCACUUGGACACUCCAGACCAGACCAGCCACCAGCUGAAGGUCACUAAGUGACUCCAGUCAGUGCCAUGUGAAAUGAAAGAAUUGCCUAGCCAAGACCUGCCAGAAUUCUUAUUCAUCAGCUAUAAUAUGGUUGUUGAGUAAGCCACUAAGUUUUGUUACAGUGCUUGUUAACGUGUUACAAUGAUGUAAUAAAAGUUUCUGAACUGA